UCUGUUCGGUGAUGAAGUCAUGGAAUACGCACUGGGCACAGUGCCUGAUAAAUACUGAAGAAUUGUUCCAUGCUGCCUUCCUUCUGAGAACAAG